CACACACACACACACACACACACACACACACACACGUGUGUGUUAGUUUAGUCUGUUUCAACCUCUCUUCGUGUGGAAACACACAUAUCUAGAACUAUUCUUUAAGGAUGUCUGCAUUUCACACAACUGUCUAAUAGGAUAAAAUAAUUGACAUUGUAUACCCAAAGGUCAAGUCUGGAUAAACGUGUAUAUGAUCUCCAACUUGAAUGCAAAGCCAAGGCAUAUAAUUGUGUGGUGUGUCAACUCUAAUUUGUUUCCUCUCUGUGCAGGGGGAUGACUGAAGCUAUCACCUUGCUAAUCCUUGCUGUCCAAACUGGCCUCAUUGAGCUGCAGGAGUUUGUGGAAGCACUUCCGUGCAGUUUCUCUCUGUCCCUUCCUGCUGACCUUUCCAGCGUACAUGGCUUAUAUGAUCUGCCAGUUCUUCCACAUGGACUUCUGGCUUCUCAUCAUCAUCUCCUCCUCAAUCCUCACCUCUCUCCAGGUGCUUGGCACUCUGUUGAUCUGUUGUUCACUUCAUGGUGGAGGAGUUUCGUAAAGCUCCAGUGGAGAACGUGGAUGAAGUCAUAUAUUGUGUAAAUGGGACCUACAGAUGCUGGAGUUUCUGGUUGCGGUGUGCGUGGUGUGCUAUGG